rnacentral:rRNA from 1 species
CAGUAGCCGCGGUAACACGUAGGUGGCAAGCGUUGUCCGGAAUUAUUGGGCGUAAAGGGCUCGCAGGCGGUUUCUUAAGUCUGAUGUGAAAGCCCCCGGCUCAACCGGGGAGGGUCAUUGGAAACUGGGAAACUUGAGUGCAGAAGGGGAGAGUGGAAUUCCACGUGUAGCGGUGAAAUGCGUAGAGAUGUGGAGGAACACCAGUGGCGAAGGCGACUCUCUGGUCUGUAACUGACGCUGAGGAGCGAAAGCGUGGGGAGCGAACAGGAUUAGAUACCCGAGUAGUCCCUGUCUCUUAUAC